rnacentral:rRNA from 1 species
AGUGAGCGCUGGCGGUAGGCCUAACACAUGCAAGUCGAACGGCAGCACAGUAAGAGCUUGCUCUUACGGGUGGCGAGUGGCGGACGGGUGAGGAAUACAUCGGAAUCUACUUUUUCGUGGGGGAUAACGUAGGGAAACUUACGCUAAUACCGCAUACGACCUACGGGUGAAAGCAGGGGAUCUUCGGACCUUGCGCGAUUGAAUGAGCCGAUGUCGGACUAGCUAGUUGGCGGGGUAAAGGCCCACCAAGGCGACGAUCCGUAGCUGGUCUGAGAGGAUGAUCAGCCACACUGGAACUGAGACACGGUCCAGACUCCUACGGGAGGCAGCAGUGGGGAAUAUUGGACAAUGGGCGCAAGCCUGAUCCAGCCAUACCGCGUGGGUGAAGAAGGCCUUCGGGUUGUAAAGCCCUUUUGUUGGGAAAGAAAAGCAGCAGGUUAAUACCCCGCUGUUCUGACGGUACCCAAAGAAUAAGCACCGGCUAACUUCGUGC